rnacentral:rRNA from 1 species
GUACAGACCGAUUCCCAAGGUGAAACCGCGAAUGGCUCAUUAAAUCAGUUAUGGUUCAUUGGAUCUUACCCAAGUUACUUGGAUAACUGUGGUAAUUCUAGAGCUAAUACAUGCAACCAAGCCCCGACCGCAAGGGAAGGGCGCUUUUAUUAGAUCAAAACCAAUCGGGCCUCGGUCCGUUCCUAUUGUGAUGACUCUGAAUAACUUUGUGCUGAGCGCAUGGUCUACGCACCAGCGCCGCAUCUUUCAAGUGUCUGCCUUAUCAGCUUUCGAUUGUAGGUUAUGCGCCUACAAUGGCUAUAACGGGUAACGGGGAAUCAGGGUUCGAUUCCGGAGAGGGAGCCUGAGAAACGGCUACCACAUCUAAGGAAGGCAGCAGGCACGCAAAUUACCCACUCCCAGCCCGGGGAGGUAGUGACGAAAAAUAACGAUGCGGGACUCUUCCGAGGCUUCGCAAUCGGAAUGAGUUCACUUUAAAUCCUUGUACGAGGAUCUAUUGGAGGGCAAGUCUGGUGCCAGCAGCCGCGGUAAUUCCAGCUCCAAUAGCGUAUAUUAAAGUUGUUGCGGUUAAAAAGCUCGUAGUUGGAUCUCAGUUCCGGGCCGACGGUGCGCCUCCGGCGAUUACUGUCGGUCCGAACAGCUAGCUGGCUUGCACGGGGUGCUCUUCACCGAGUGUCCCGCGUGGCCGGCAUGUUUACUUUGAAAAAAUUAGAGUGCUCAAAGCAGGCUAAUGCCUGAACAGUUGUGCAUGGAAUGAUGGAAUAGGACCUCGGUUCUAUUUUGUUGGUUUUCGGAACCCGAGGUAAUGACGAAUAGAGACGGACGGGGGCAUUCGUAUUGCGACGCUAGAGG